rnacentral:lncRNA from 1 species
GCCCAGCCUGGCGCCUCUGGUGGUGCAGACAGACAGUGCGUCCCCCCUGGGUGCGGGCCAUCUGCCCGGCUUGGCCUUCUCCAGCCACCUGCACGGGCAGCAGUUCUUUGGGCCGUUGGGAGCUGGCCAGCCCCUCUUCCUGCACCCAGGACAAUUUGCCAUGGGCCCCGGAGCCUUCUCCGCCAUGGGCAUGGGUCAUCUGCUAGCCUCGGUGGCAGGCGGCGGUGGCAAUAGCGGGGGCGCUGCGCCCGGAACCGCGGCGGGGCUGGACGCAGGCGGGCUGGGUCCCGCAGCCAGCGCAGCAAGCACCGCGACUCCCUUCCCGUUCCACCUCUCCCAGCACAUGCUGGCAUCUCAGGUAAGGCCUGUGAUCUGCAGGCAGCCGGAGGGUGGCACAGCAGCUUGUUGGUGGCUGAGGUGGGCAGAGAACUUGAGAGAUGCUAUAGGUACUCAGAUCCUCCGAGAAACCAAAAGCUAUCUACAGGAAAGCCAUUUAAGUCCUAAAAGAUUAAAACCGACCAUGAGCUAACCAGGACAUUGCUUCUGAACCCUAUGUGACCUUAGGAAUGUCCCUGGUCCUCUCUGGACCUGUUU